rnacentral:rRNA from 1 species
CGGACGGGGGAGUAAUGUCUGGGAAACUGCCUGAUGGAGGGGGGUAACUACUGGAAACGGUAGCUAAUACCGCAUAACGUCGCAAGACCAAAGAGGGGGACCUUAGGGCCUCUUGCCAUCGGAUGUGCCCAGAUGGGAUUAGCUAGUAGGUGGGGUAACGGCUCACCUAGGCGACGAUCCCUAGCUGGUCUGAGAGGAUGACCAGCCACAUUGGAACUGAGACACGGUCCAG